GACGAACGCUGGCGGCGUGCCUAAUACAUGCAAGUCGAGCGAAUGACGAGAAGCUUGCUUCUCUGAUUUAGCGGCGGACGGGUGAGUAACACGUGGGCAACCUGCCCCACAGAUCGGGAUAACUCAGGGAAACCUGGGCUAAUACCGGAUAAUCCUUCGAAUCACAUGUUUUGAAGUUGAAAGGCGCUUCGGCGUCACUGUAGGAUGGGCCCGCGGUGCAUUAGCUAGUUGGUGGGGUAACGGCCUACCAAGGCAACGAUGCAUAGCCGACCUGAGAGGGUGAUCGGCCACAUUGGGACUGAGACACGGCCCAAACUCCUACGGGAGGCAGCAGUAGGGAAUCUUCCACAAUGGACGAAAGUCUGAUGGAGCAACGCCGCGUGAGUGAUGAAGGUUUUCGGAUCGUAAAACUCAGUUGUAAGGGAAGAACAAGUACGUUAGGAAAUGAACGUACCUUGACGGUACCUUAUUAGAAAGCCACGGCUAACUACGUGCCAGCCGCCGCCGUAA
rnacentral:rRNA from 1 species